GUGCUCACUUCAGCAGCACAGAACUAAACUUGGAAUGAUACCGAGACGAUUAGUGUAGCCCUGCACAAUGAUGACACGCAAAUUCUUGCAGCGUUCCAUGUUUAA
ensembl:snRNA U6 U6 spliceosomal RNA